ensembl:lncRNA
GUUUAUUUCCCUUAAAAUUCCAAUCUGCCACCUUGCCAUUUGGUGUAAUACUUAAAGGCCCGUAGAUGUCCUCCUAGGAUCAUAAAUUAAACUGAGGUAAGCUCCAAGUUGCCUCUUUUUCUGGGUGGCAGUGCAGAAGUCGAUGUGGUGAGAGAUUCAUUCAACCAUAGUGUUGUUAAAUAUGAACAUAAACGCCAUAUUGUGCAUUUAAAUGGUUUCAUUGUUUUGUUAAAGGAAAGGAAAAACCUAAAAGAGGAAGUGCCAAACUAAAACCAAACAAACCAUAAAUAUAUAGAGUAGAAAUAAAUUAUGAAUAAAACCAUGUUCUUCUCCAUCCAUUUUCCUGUCUGUUAAAACCCAUUUUCUAAUACAGGCCAUUUGGUGUUAUUGUCUGUAGGUUCUGGAUCCACUCCCGUGCUGCCCACAGGUCCAGAGGCCCACAGGUCCAGCCUAUAUGUGACUGUAACCCUGAUAUGGUAAGGUUCUGGAUCCACUCCCGUGCUGCCCACAGGUCCAGAGGCCCACAGGUCCAGCCUAUAUGUGACUGUAACCCUGAUAUGGUAAGGUGAGUGAUGGGGUGCUCCUGGAAGUGGGUUAUGAGUAAAUUGUAGG